GAUGAACGCUGGCGGCGUGCCUAAUACAUGCAAGUCGAGCGAACAGAUGAGGAGCUUGCUCCUCUGACGUUAGCGGCGGACGGGUGAGUAACACGUGGAUAACCUACCUAUAAGACUGGGAUAACUUCGGGAAACCGGAGCUAAUACCGGAUAAUAUAUUGAACCGCAUGGUUCAAUAGUAAAAGACGGUUUUGCUGUCACUUAUAGAUGGAUCCGCGCCGCAUUAGCUAGUUGGUAAGGUAACGGCUUACCAAGGCAACGAUGCGUAGCCGACCUGAGAGGGUGAUCGGCCACACUGGAGCUGAGACACGGUCCAGACUCCUACGGGAGGCAGCAGUAGGGAAUCGUCCGCAAUGGGCGAAAGCCUGACGGAGCAACGCCGCGUGAGUGAUGAAGGUCUUCGGAUCGUAAAACUCUGUUAUUAGGGAAGAACAAAUGUGUAAGUAACUAUGCACGUCUUGACGGUACCUAAUCAGAAAGCCACGGCUAACUACGUG
rnacentral:rRNA from 1 species